rnacentral:lncRNA from 1 species
UCUUAUUUUAUGUGCUCUUGAAUUUACAAAGAUAUUUUUUAAAACAUUUAUUUAUCUAUGUUUAAAUUCCUGAGGAAAUGUACUUAUUGGCAGGUCCAUGGAAUCUGAGAAGAAAACUACCUUCCUUGACAAAUGUAUAGUAAGUGUCCAAUGAGCAACUUGUCAUAAUUGGAUCCGCAGUUUCAGGCUGGGUUGAGGGAAGUGAAAAAGCCUACAGGGAGUGAGCAUUAUGUUGUAAACACUGUGUUAAGUGAUUUACAUGCGUUAUUUAAUGUGAUAUACACAAGACUUUGACAAGUUACUCUGCUUUAUGCAUGAGAAAAUUGAGAUUCACAGUCAAUAAGUUAUGCGUCUGUUUCCUAGUCAGUAGAAAGUUGCAGAGUGGAACUUAGGAGCGAUACUUGUUUAAACCUAAAACAUGCUAUUCUCAAGAAACUACUCUAUAUUUAUGUCAGGAUAAUCCCAGGACAGGAUAUAACUUUAAAAUAUAUCUGAAAGGUAAAAAGCACAGACUUGGGACUCAGAUAGACCUGUAUUUCAUAUUCAACCUGGAUAAUUUCAAGUGCUCAUUGGGAAAAUACAGAACCUUUUAAACAUCAGUUUCCUCAUAUGUGAAAUGGGUGUAAACUCACCUAUUACGCAGAAUUGUUAUGAAGGUCAAACAAUGUAGGUAAGGCACCUAGCACAGUGCCGGGCACUUAGAAAGUGUCCCCUAUGCAACAACUGCUUUCAUUAUCAGUGUCAACUCUGUCAUCAUCACCACAGUUUCUGUGAGGCUCCCUAUUCUUUCCACAAGUAGAUUCCCCUCUCUUUAUGUCGUAAACCUUACCAUUAUUACAGUAUUUAUCACACUGACCUUUAAUAUUGGUAAUAAGCGUAAAAUGUAACAUUCUAGCAGAUCGUAAAGGUAAUUACUAUAAUAGUAACAAAUAUUAUUUCAUUUAACAAAUGAUUUUAUUUCAUUUCAUUACUUUAUUAACUUGUUCAACAAUAAAUGAAGAGCUUUGGUUUGCAGCUCUAAAGGUUUCUUCCCCCAUGCACACAGAUAACACAUAAUUCACAAACAAACAAAACCAAAUAAUUUCAGGUAAUGACAAAUAUUAUAUAGAAAAAUAAAAUAGAGUGAAGGGAGAUAUUUUAGAUAGGCCAUUUGAGCAUUCGCUCUUCUGAAGGGACCCUUGAGAAGAGACUUAAAUGAAGGCAAAGAAUGAGCCAAGCCCAUGUCCAGGAAAGGUCUACAAUAGGCAGAGGUAACAGGUAUAAAAACCUGGGUGUUGCAAGGGUAGUGAGCCAGAAGGAAGAGAGAAAGAGAUGAAAUUCAGAAGAUGGAUGGUAGAGUUCAAACUUAGAAGUUUGGAUGGUAAUCUAAAUGUUACGGGCAUCUGUUGGGGAAUCUUGAGUAGUGAGGAAUACAAUUUGAUUUAUAUUUUUUAAAGCCCCUUCUGGCUCUUCUUUGAGAGAGAAGAGGAAGGAAAGAGGUCAGUCAUAGAGCAACAUGGCUAUUUUCCAAGACACAUAAAAUUAUGGCUUUGACUAGGGACUAUAAGGGGAUGACAAGUACUCAGAUUUGGGAAAUAUUUUGUAGGUAAACAUAAUAGGACUUGUUGCUGGAUUGAACAUGAGAUUUCAAACUUAUCCUAUAUUUCUUCAUAAAAAGACUGUUGAUCUCAUUGUGUAUACAGCAACAACUGAGAAAUUUAUCAAAGCAACAAACCACUAUGACUAAGCAAAAGUUUGUGAAAAAAUGUUUUUUGUUAAAACAUGACCAUAUAAUAUAUGCAGAACCAUAUAUACUUCUUAUAAAUAGUUUAAAUGAUAUGCAAAGUUAAAAUAGCUUUUGUAAGUUAAGCUCAAGGGGGCCUUGGCAAUAUUCAUUAUGAAAUGUUUGAUCACCUACCUCCUGCAUCUCUUAGUACCAACACCCCCUCUCCUGCUAUUCUUUAAUACAGACAAUUAACAUGUUUUUCUACCUUCUGUAAAAUGUUUUACUAAUACUGUUUUCAAGGCCCGGUUCUCCUUCUAAUCAGAUUGUCAUACAGCCUGCGUACUUUCUUUUUUCUUUUUUUUUCCCGAGACAGAGUCUUGCUCUAUCACCCUCCAGGCUGGUGUGCAGUGGAGCAAUCUCGGCUCAGUGCAACCUCUGCCUACUGGUUCAAAUGAUCCUCCUGUCUCAGCCUCCCAAGCAGCUGGGAUUACAGGCACACCCCACCAGGCCUGGCUAAUUUUUGUAUUUUCAGUAGAGACAGGGUUUCACCAUGUUGGCCAGGGUGGUCUUCAACUCCUGACCUCAAGUGACCUGCCCGCCUUGGCCUCCCAAAGUGCUGGAAUUACAGGCGUGAGCCACUGUGCCUGGCCCAGCCUGCAUAUUUUCUAAAAAUCAACUCAAAUAUCCAUUUGUUUAAAAGACUAUUUAAAUAUUUUUGGUACAUAGCAUAUACUUGCUUGAUAUUUGGCUAAAGGGAUGUCCACAUGAAAUCGAGGCUCACGAUUAUCUUGAGAAGAGCCACUCUUUAAAAGCAAUUAAAUAGAAAAAUGGAAGAUAAUCAUGUGAUGCUAGUCAAGCCCUCUUCCCUUCCUAGAUGGCUGCACUGGGUAGACAGAGAUUCUUGGUAUGUUAGGGCAGUAACUGUGUUCAAGGAGGAAAAUAGGUACUAGCCUGUCAGUCUAGUAGAGGAGAUGGCUGAAAGAGAUAAUACAUCUCAGUUCAUGGGUCUGCCUUAAAUAAGAACUCUGGAGCUAUCCCUGUGUCCCAAGGAAUUAAUCUCUCUAUUUCAGUAUGUGUGUUCUGAUCAACUCAUUGUAGCUAUUAUUCAUCUCCAGCUAUCAAUUGGAUCACUUGAGGUCAUCUCUGUAUCUGGAAUGGUGUCAUACAAGAAGGGUCUUGGCGGUGGUCUGACCUGCCAUGGACUGUCCAUCUGCCCGGACUACAGCGAGGACAGGACCAGUUCUUUUGGCACUCAGCUGAAGUGAUGAACAGGAGACAAUUUUUCCAAGCUUCCAAGGAGCCAAGCUGAAGAAAGAGUGAAACAAUGGAGGCGCCUUUCUUUCUUGAUCUUGGGAGAAGGAAUGCUCUCUGACAUUGGGAACUUCAGCCUGUUCCAACCUGUUUGCCUCCCAGAUGCACCUUCAAGACAAACUAAUUAUCUUGGGGAAUUAGAUAACAGCCUGAUACUUUCAUAUUCCUGUUUCCAAAUUUUGAUCAAUGUGCAAAAUAUAUUUUUGCCACCACUUAUAUAAAUCUUAAUAUUAUGGCCUAAUGCAGACAUGAAAGUGUAAUGGAUUCCUGAAUACGACUGCUUAUAUUCAAUCCUCACCACCAUUACUUAGUGCUUGUGCCUUGGACAAAUUACCUAACCACACUAGAACUUGUUAUUCUUAAUUAUACUAUGAAAUUAAUGAUAGUAUCCUCAUAAGGGUGGUGGUGAGGAUUCAAUAAGAUGAUUCAUACAAAUAAUUUAGUAAAGGGUCAGGCAGAUGGUAAACACUUAAUACAUGUUAGAAAUGAUGGCAAAGAGAAGGAGAGUGGUGAUGAUGAUGAAAGUGAUCAUAAUAUUUGACUACUGAGUUGAGCAAAUUCUUAGUGUAGGGCUAUGUACCUCUUACUAGAGGUAUGAUACUUUGCACAGCGUAAGUCUAACAACAAAUAUAUAACAUUCAUGAACUCACAUUUGAACAAGAGUUGGAUGUGUUUAUGGACUUUAUAAUUCUUUAUAUAAUGAAUAAUGUAUAGCAAUUUUAUAUACUUUAUAUAGAUACAGCAGUAGUUUGGGAUUGGAACUGUUGCUGAUAUACUUACUGAUUAACUUACUGCUGAUUUGGGAAUUUUAAGACUUGAAGGACACCAUCAAUGGUUCUUAUAUACAGAAAGGCUGAAAAAAUGUGAAAUUACAUUUAGUAAAGGAAUAGGAAAGUGAGAAAUGUCAUUUAUUAAAAUUCUACUAUGUGCAAGGUACUGGACUUGGACAAUCUCAUGUUUCAAAUCACCUAAUCUUCACAGUCUACUAUUGUCUGUGAGGCAAAUAUGUUUAUUAACCUCACAUGGAUGAGAAAAUUAGACUGCAGAUAAAGGUUUCAAACCUUCUGUAAUAUCAUGUAUAUAUUAAGGAUAUGGAGAAAAGAUUCAACAUCAGAUAUCCACUGCAAAGGCAGAACUGAUCUCCUUCAUUCCCCUACUUGAAUUAUUGCCUUCACCUAAAGAAGACAGAAACAUGAAGAGUUAAUAGCAGGUAGCUUCUCUUUAAGAAAGCUGCUUGUAAGUGACUUGAUAAUUUCCCAGUGAAAAUGACAUUUAUCUUGGAAAAACGGGGUCCAAACCCAGUGACAUUUUAAAGUUUGUAAUUGGGUUCAAAUGUGCGCAUGUACAAAACUAUGCCACCACAGAAAAAGCUGUCUUCUAAGGGUGCCAAGGAAGCGAUUGAUUAAAUUUGAGAUCCAUGCUUGACCUAGGCAAUUUGCCUAGUCUUUUGUAGUCACAGUGUUCCCAUUUACAAAAUAAGGGCUAUUUAAUUUAACAAAUGAUUAUUAGGCUUGAAAUAAGUAAUAGAGUAGAAAGUGCUGAUAAACUCUUAAACAUUAUACAAAUGACAGCUAUUAUGAUCAUAUCAGCUCAAGACAGAACUAGAAGCUAAAAAAUUCUUAUGAAGAUUAAGACCUACUACAUUUAUCAAUCCAGUGAAUGCUAAAAUACCAUCUUUUUAUUGUAAACAUUGCUCAG